AGCCAGUGGGGGUGUAGUGGUUUGAAUGCUGCACUAUGACUCUGGAGAUCAGGGUUCAAAUCCCUACUCGGCUA